UCCCUGGUGGCUCAGAUGGUAAAGCAUCUGCCUGCAAUGCGGAAGACCCGGGUUUGAUCCCUGGGUUGGGAA
rnacentral:tRNA from 1 species